rnacentral:rRNA from 1 species
CAAACGACUCUUGGCAACGGAUAUCUCGGCUCAUGCAUCGAUGAAGAACGUAGCGAAAUGCGAUACUUGGUGUGAAUUGCAGAAUCCCGUGAACCAUCGAGUUUUUGAACGCAAGUUGCGCCCGAAGCCUUUUGGCCGAGGGCACGUCUGCCUGGGCGUCGCAC